ACGGCUCAGCCGGAGGUAGGGUC
rnacentral:snRNA from 1 species